ensembl:lncRNA
GGCGGCCGGGCGGCAGCGGGGCGGGGCGGCCCCGGGGCUCCGAGCGCCGCCUCAGCUUCUGCGAGUGGGUGUCCGGGGGGGGCGCCGGGGCGGGGAGUCCUCUCCCACCCCUCCCCUCACUUCCUCCCGCCCCCGCUCCCCGUUCUGACCCCCAGGGUCCUCUGUCUGUCCCCCUCCCUCCCGAUCCCUCCUCGCUCCCCCACUCUCAUCCCUUCUGUCUCCUUUCCCGCCCCCCCCACAGCUCUCCCCACGUUGGCCCCUCCAUCCGUCUCCCCCCUCUGACUCCCCUCUGUCUGCCCCCCGGGGUCCCCCGUCUUCCCUCUUCCUUCUCCCUCCCCCCUGCUGACCCCAUGUGCUGACCCCUAGAGUCCCCUGUACCCCCCAUGCCCUCCUCCCUGACCUCUGGAGUCCGCUCCCCCAUUUUGACCCCCAGUAUCCCCCAACGGGACCCCCUUUAUGUCCCAUAGAAGCCCCCCCUGCGACCCCCAGCUCUCCCCUCCCUCCACCCCACAGAAGCCCCACUCACACAUUCUCCCCCCCCCCAAGAUUCCACACAACCCCCUCUCCACCCCCAGACUCCCUUUCCACCCCACAGAAGCCCCACUAACCCCUUUCCCCCCCCCCUUCAGCCCACCUUUUCCCCACUUAGAAUCGUGCCGAGGGAUCUGGAGACGUCCUAGAGAGGUUUGGGGGCAUCCAGGGGGUUCUGGACUCAUGCAGAAGAGUCUGGAGAUGUCCAAGGAGGAUCCAGGGAGUCCCCAGGUAGGUCCUGUGGGCCCCUGGAAGGGUCUGGCAGCUCCCACGAUGGGCCCAGGAGCUCUGAGGAGUCUCUGGGCUGAUCUAGAGAUGUCCCAGUAGAGUCUGCGAGGGUCCAGGGAGUCCUCGUGUGGGUCUGAGUGGUCAUCCAGAAGGGUCUGGGGAUGGCCCAGAGUGGACUGGGAGGGUCCGGGGGGUCCUUAGUUGGGUUUAGAGGGUCCUGUUGUCCUCUGGAAGGGUCUGAAGAUGUCCCGGAAGUGUCUUGGGGUGCCCAGGGGGUGCUCAUGUGGGUCUGUGGGGUCCUGGAGCCAUCCAGAAGGGUCUGGGGGUGUCCCAGAAAGGCCUUGGAGGGUCCAGAGGGUCCUCCUGUUGAUCCAUGGGGUCCACAGAUUCAUCCAGAAGGGUCUGGAGCUGUCCAGGACGGAUCUUGUGGGGUCCAGGGGGUCUCCAGGUGUGUCCAGGGCAUCCUUGCAGUCAUCCAGAAGGGUCUGGGGGUGUCCCAGAGAGGACUUGGAGGGUCUGGGCGGUCCUUAGGUGGGUUCUGUUGUCCUCUGGAAGGGUCUGAAGAUGUCCCAGAUGUGUCCUGGGUGUCCAAGGGGUGCUGUCACUGAGCCUCCCACUGUCCUUUGUCACCCCUCCAGGCCUGCCUGCAGCCGGACCCGGUGACACCGGAGCCCUCCCUCUGGCGCUGUCACCAUCCUCUGUCCCGAGGACGGGAGGUGAACUCUGUGCCACCAGCAGAGGGGACCACGUGUGACAUCAGUGUGGAACAGCCGUGACGCGGCGGCGUUGUCAUUGGGUGUCACCGUCACGCAGAGGGGACAAAAGGACCCCCCUGGGGGCAUUGCGUCGAAGUUGGGGACACCGUGAGCAGCUUGAGGACUUCCCAGGGGAAGUGGGGGCACCGCGUCACCGUGUCACACCCCAAAGUUGGGGACACCCCCACAGUGUCACACCCCAAAGUUGGGGACGCCUCUGUGUCACCCCAAUGGUGUCCGACCCCAAAGCUGGGGACACUCCACAGUGUCACACCCCAAAGUUGGGGACGCCCCGACAGUGUCACAUCUCAAAGUUGGGGUCUGUCCCAGAGGUGGGAGUGCCCCCACAUCCCCACCAUGGCGUCACAUCCCAAAGUUGGGGACCCCCAUCUGGGGACCCAUUCAGUGCGUCCCCCAUUGCAGACCGCACUGUUCCCAUGGGGUGGGGGCGGGGAGCACCCUUUAUUUUUGGGAUUAAAGUUUAUUUCGUGAUAAAGGGGCGUUGGGGGAUGCCCCCCCCACGUGAAUAAAGGGCAGAGGAGCGGCUGUGGGGCUCCGUGUGUCACACCAGGGGGUGCUUUGGGGACACUGCAGCAUCCCAGGCCCAUAGCCCCCAUGGCCCUAUAACCACUACAGCCCCAUCUUGUAGCCAUCCCAUAUCCAUAUCCCAUCCCAUAUCCCAUCCUGUAUCCAUAACCCUUCCAAUACCCAAACCAUCAUAUCCAUCCCACACCCAUAUCCCAAAUCCAUCCCGUAUCCAUAUCCCAAAUCCAUCCCGUAUCCAUCCCCUAUCCCAUGUCCGUAUCCCCGUAUCCCAUCCCAUAUCUCAUCCCGUAUCCGUAUCCCAUCCCAACUCCAUGCCAAAUCUCUUUCUAUAUCCACAUCACCUUAUCCAUCCCAUAACCAUCCCAAAUCCAUCUCAAAUCCAUAUCUCAUCCCAGACCGAUCCCAUCUCCUUAUCCAUCCCGUAUCAAUGUCCCAUCCCUUAUCCAAUCCCAUACCCCAUCCUAAAGCGAUCCCACAUCCAUACCCCCACAUCCCAUAUCCUAUCCCCAUCCUGUACCCCAUGUCCCAUAUCCAUUUCCAUCCCACAGCCUUUCCAAAUCCAUAUCCCCGCAUCCAUCCCGUGUCCACCCCAUAUCCAUUCCGUAUACUUAUCCCAUCCUAUGAUCAUCCCAAUGCCAUCCCAUAUCCAUAUCCCGUCCCAACUCCACCCCAUAUCUUUCCCAUAUCUUUGCCAAGUCUGUCCCGUACCCGUAUACCCACUUCCCGCAUCCCAAUCCCAAUCCCAACCCCAAUCCCAACCCCAAUCCCAAUCCCACACCUCAUUCCCAAUCCCACAUGCCAAUCCCGUAUCCCGCAUCCCAAUCCUUAUCCCGAAUCCCUAUUCCAAUCCCACAUCCCAGCCGCAUGUACCAUGUGUCAAUCCAUCGCAAUCCCAAAUCUCAUAUCCCAGUCCUAACCCCAAUCCCACACCCCAAUCCCAAUCCCAUCCCCUAUUACAAUAGGGCACACUCCGGGCCCCUCCCGCAGCUCCGUCCCGCCCCCAUCUUCUCAUUGGCUGAGGUUCAGCACCGUCCCUGCCCCGGCCUUUCAUUGGCUGAGCCGCAGUUCCAUCCUGCCUCCAGCCUCUCAUUGGUCAGGUGCAGCUCCGUCCCGCCGCCGGCCUCUCAUUGGCUGACGCGCAGCCCAGUCCCGCCCCCAUCCUCUCAUUGC